rnacentral:rRNA from 1 species
UACAGAGGGUGCAAGCGUUAAUCGGAAUCACUGGGCGUAAAGGGUGCGUAGGUGGACUGUUAAGUGUGGUGUGAAAUCCCUGGGCUUAACCUGGGAAUGGCACGGCAAACUGGUGGUCUAGAGUACAGGAGAGGUGAGUGGAAUUCCCGGUGUAGCGGUGAAAUGCGUAGAGAUCGGGAGGAACAUCUGUGGCGAAGGCGGCUCACUGGCCUGAUACUGACACUGAGGCACGAAAGCGUGGGGAGCAAAC